ACAUGCACCUACCCCACUACCACUGCUCUGUUGCUGAUAACUGGGAUGAAUGCAGGAGCAGAUUUCCGGAGCAGCACAAGAGACCCUCUUUGUGACUGAUGACUGACAAUAAGGGCAUGUGGCGAACCUGUUUUGUUCUUUUGUAGUUUUGCAUAGUUUUCACUGUCAUUCACACACACAGAUUCACGCAUCAUGCCCUUUACAUACACCUUACAUUAUGAUACUUCCACACCUCAUUCCUUUUUCUUAGUUUAAAGUUAAUAGUUUUGUUUACAAUAAAGAACAUUUUUUAAUUGGCCUAUA
ensembl:lncRNA